GGGGGCUCAAGUACAAACAGAGUCAUAAAUGACAGAACAGUAAACAGGUCAACAAUUAUAACCAGAGCAAUGAGGGCCCGGCUGGCAAGAGCUUACAAUCUAUGAGGAGAUGGUGUGACACAGAAGGUUUCUUAGGUACAGGACGCUCUUCUUUUAAAUACAAUGGUCCUUUCCAUCAAUGACCCACCAAGGAUGGAGAAGUACAGACACCACUUGGCUGCAAGGAUAUUAGACCUCACCCUGGAGAUAAUCUCCUUGAUAACUGGAGAGGAUUACACAGUAGUGAAG